UGUUGUCAGAAUUAAGCACAUUUUAUUUUUCUCCUUGGAUAAACCGUGUUCGAUUAGAUUAAAAAAAUUAUACUGUAAAAGAUCCGAUCGAUCUGAAUUCCUAGAAACGACAGACAUACAUACAUUAGGCAGGAGGAUGCAUAAGUCUAUUGUAUACAAGAUGAGUGGAGCAACGUGGAGUGAGUGUCUUUUUCGUUGUAGGCCACUGAGAUAAGCUUCCUUAUUGUUUUCAUGUCAUAACCACCAAUCACUCACAUUUCACAUCCAAAUCCACAAUUUGUGAAGAUCCAACUCGAUCUGAAUAAUCUUUGCUUCCCAAUGAACAAUUCUGGAUUAAAAAUUCAUCUUUACAAGUUAUUAAUUAAUCAGCGUAAAAAACUAAAAUUAUUAGAAUAUAGUUACUUGUUAAUCUUUUUCAUUUAUGACUCUUUUUAUGUAAUGUGGAAAUGCGUUAAGUUUACCUACAUGUUUUUGUGGGACGGUAGCUUAAUUAGAUGAAAACCAAACCAAAAAAUACAAAAAAUGCUAGAUGUGUAUAAUUAUCGAUCAUAUAUCUCUAGAAAAUUAGACAAAUGGCCCAGCUAAUUCACAUCUUACACAUGUAAAUGAACAUAUGGAAACCUUUACUACCCACUAGUACUACUAAUGGUUUUUUCCAAAACAGUGUAGCACGGACCACAAUAACUACAAUUACUAUACCUAACAAACCAUUAUCUCUCUCCCUCUUUGUUUUUCUAUCAUUUUCCAUGUAAUAAAAAGCAUUCCAUAAAUCACUAACCACUAAACAAACGAAAUCGAAAAAGAAAAGAAAAAACAUCACUGGGAGAUAUGCAUUACCACGGUUGUUGUUGCGGACGGUGCGGAGUAUCCACGUCGCCGUUGCCGGUAAUAGUAAUGAUCACGGUGGCGCUAGUCCUCUUGGCGCUUUCCUCCGCCGUAAAAUUUGAGGUUUCCCU
rnacentral:lncRNA from 1 species